AAUAAUUUAAACAGCUCUCUCGACUUGCAAAUCCGAGAAUACCGACUUUUAAACAUUUAUGUAACUCUUUCAUACAAUUUGCGCACUCUCUAUUGGGUAUUAUCGACUUCUUUUUCAUCAUCCGAUAGUUUUCGCAAAAAGAUUAUCGAAUAAUAAAAGAAAGAUGGCGAAAUAGUUUGCUCGAGAUUUACUACUUAUAGAUUCAAAGCUCUGAGUAAAAAAAAAAUACGAUUGAACGAUAAGAAUAAGGAAUUUUUCUUUCCUUCUGAAAAAGAAGAAUUUUCUUCCUGGUAUUCUAAAAGAAAAAACUGUUGCCUAAAGAUGAGUAACCGUUUAAUUUUGAUCUUUAUUUUUUGCCACGUUCUGAUUGGCAUUGUCCUGUGCGAUGUUGCAAGCAAAGAUGGAUCCGGUGCAGAAAAAAAAGGUGAUUCAGCAGACCAACCAGGUA